rnacentral:rRNA from 1 species
GACGAACGCUGUCGGCGUGCUUAACACAUGCAAGUCGAACGGAAAGGCCCUGCUUUUGUGGGGUGCUCGAGUGGCGAACGGGUGAGUAACACGUGAGUAACCUGCCCUUGACUUUGGGAUAACUUCAGGAAACUGGGGCUAAUACCGGAUAGGAGCUCCUGCUGCAUGGUGGGGGUUGGAAAGUUUCGGCGGUUGGGGAUGGACUCGCGGCUUAUCAGCUUGUUGGUGGGGUAGUGGCUUACCAAGGCUUUGACGGGUAGCCGGCCUGAGAGGGUGACCGGCCACAUUGGGACUGAGAUACGGCCCAGACUCCUACGGGAGGCAGCAGUGGGGAAUAUUGCACAAUGGGCGGAAGCCUGAUGCAGCAACGCCGCGUGCGGGAUGACGGCCUUCGGGUUGUAAACCGCUUUCGCCUGUGACGAAGCGUGAGUGACGGUAAUGGGUAAAGAAGCACCGGCUAACUACGUGCCAGCAGCCGCGGUGAUACGUAGGGUGCGAGCGUUGUCCGGAUUUAUUGGGCGUAAAGGGCUCGUAGGUGGUUGAUCGCGUCGGAAGUGUAAUCUUGGGGCUUAACCCUGAGCGUGCUUUCGAUACGGGUUGACUUGAGGAAGGUAGGGGAGAAUGGAAUUCCUGGUGGAGCGGUGGAAUGCGCAGAUAUCAGGAGGAACACCAGUGGCGAAGGCGGUUCUCUGGGCCUUUCCUGACGCUGAGGAGCGAAAGCGUGGGGAGCGAACAGGCUUAGAUACCCUGGUAGUCCACGCUGUAAACGGUGGGUACUAGGUGUGGGGUCCAUUCCACGGGUUCCGUGCCGUAGCUAACGCUUUAAGUACCCCGCCUGGGGAGUACGGCCGCAAGGCUAAAACUCAAAGGAAUUGACGGGGCCCCGCACAAGCGGCGGAGCAUGCGGAUUAAUUCGAUGCAACGCGUAGAACCUUACCUGGGUUUGACAUGGAUCGGGAGUGCCCAGAGAUGGGUGUGCCUCUUUUGGGGUCGGUUCACAGGUGGUGCAUGGCUGUCGUCAGCUCGUGUCGUGAGAUGUUGGGUUAAGUCCCGCAACGAGCGCAACCCUUGUUCACUGUUGCCAGCACGUUAUGGUGGGGACUCAGUGGAGACCGCCGGGGUCAACUCGGAGGAAGGUGGGGAUGACGUCAAGUCAUCAUGCCCCUUAUGUCCAGGGCUUCACGCAUGCUACAAUGGCUGGUACAGAGAGUGGCGAGCCUGUGAGGGUGAGCGAAUCUCGGAAAGCCGGUCUCAGUUCGGAUUGGGGUCUGCAACUCGACCUCAUGAAGUCGGAGUCGCUAGUAAUCGCAGAUCAGCAACGCUGCGGUGAAUACGUUCCCGGGGCU